CGAGUGGCGGACGGGUGAGUAACACGUAGGUAACCUGCCCAGAAGCGGGGGACAACAUUUGGAAACAGAUGCUAAUACCGCAUAACAACGUUGUUCGCAUGAACAACGCUUAAAAGAUGGCUUCUCGCUAUCACUUCUGGAUGGACCUGCGGUGCAUUAGCUUGUUGGUGGGGUAAUGGCCUACCAAGGCGAUGAUGCAUAGCCGAGUUGAGAGACUGAUCGGCCACAAUGGGACUGAGACACGGCCCAUACUCCUACGGGAGGCAGCAGUAGGGAAUCUUCCACAAUGGGCGCAAGCCUGAUGGAGCAACACCGCGUGAGUGAAGAAGGGUUUCGGCUCGUAAAGCUCUGUUGUUAAAGAAGAACACGUAUGAGAGUAACUGUUCAUACGUUGACGGUAUUUAACCAGAAAGUCACGGCUAACUACGUGCCAGCAGCCGCGGUAAUACGUAGGUGGCAAGCGUUAUCCGGAUUUAUUGGGCGUAAAGAGAGUGCAGGCGGUUUUCUAAGUCUGAUGUGAAAGCCUUCGGCUUAACCGGAGAAGUGCAUCGGAAACUGGAUAACUUGAGUGCAGAAGAGGGUAGUGGAACUCCAUGUGUAGCGGUGGAAUGCGUAGAUAUAUGGAAGAACACCAGUGGCGAAGGCGGCUACCUGGUCUGCAACUGACGCUGAGACUCGAAAGCAUGGGUAGCGAACAGGAUUAGAUACCCUGGUAGUCCAUGCCGUAAACGAUGAGUGCUAGGUGUUGGAGGGUUUCCGCCCUUCAGUGCCGGAGCUAACGCAUUAAGCACUCCGCCUGGGGAGUACGACCGCAAGGUUGAAACUCAAAGGAAUUGACGGGGGCCCGCACAAGCGGUGGAGCAUGUGGUUUAAUUCGAAGCUACGCGAAGAACCUUACCAGGUCUUGACAUCUUGCGCCAACCCUAGAGAUAGGGCGUUUCCUUCGGGAACGCAAUGACAGGUGGUGCAUGGUCGUCGUCAGCUCGUGUCGUGAGAUGUUGGGUUAAGUCCCGCAACGAGCGCAACCCUUGUUACUAGUUGCCAGCAUUAAGUUGGGCACUCUAGUGAGACUGCCGGUGACAAACCGGAGGAAGGUGGGGACGACGUCAGAUCAUCAUGCCCCUUAUGACCUGGGCUACACACGUGCUACAAUGGACGGUACAACGAGUCGCGAACUCGCGAGGGCAAGCAAAUCUCUUAAAACCGUUCUCAGUUCGGACUGCAGGCUGCAACUCGCCUGCACGAAGUCGGAAUCGCUAGUAAUCGCGGAU
rnacentral:rRNA from 2 species